rnacentral:rRNA from 1 species
CUUAAAGGAAUUGACGGGGACCCGCACAAGCGGUAGAUGAUGUGGUUUAAUUCGAUGCAACGCGAAAACCUUACCCACCUUUGACAUGUACGGAACCCUUUAGAGAUAGAGGGGUGCUCGAAAGAGAGCCGUAACACAGGUGCUGCAUGGCUGUCGUCAGCUCGUGUCGUGAGAUGUUGGGUUAAGUCCCGCAACGAGCGCAACCCUUGUCAUUAGUUGCUACAUUCAGGUUGGGCACUCUAAUGAGACUGCCGGUGACAAGCCGGAGGAAGGGUGGGGAUGACGUCAAGUCCUCAUGGCCCUUAUAGGGUGGGGCUACACACGUCAUACAAUGGCUGGUAACGAAAGGGUUGCCAACCCGCGAGGGGGAGCCAAUCCCAUAAAGCCAGUCGUAGUCCGGAUCGUAGUCUGCAACUCGACUACGUGAAGUCGGAAUCGCUAGUAAUCGUGGAUCAGAAUGUCACGGUGAAUACGUUCCCGGGUCUU